UUUGUAACGCGGGCGGCAGGCUUAACCACACAAAAGCGGACGAUAACAAGAAAAAGGUUUUUUUUUUUGGUCACGAGGGGCUGGCGGGGUGAGAAACUCUUGGGUAUGUCUUUUAUAGAGGGGGAUAACGACGGGAAAAGUGGCGCUAAUCCCGUGUAUUAUGGAAAGAUAAAAGUGCGGGGUCUGAGAGGCCGCAUCCCAUAGGAUGACCCCAAGUGGGAUUAGGUAGUUGGGGGGGAUAAAGGUCUACCAAGUCUGCGAUCUCUAGCUGGUCUGAGAGGAUGACCAGCCACACUGGAACUGAGACAGGGCCAGACUUCUACGGGAGGCAGCAGUGGAGUAUUUUGCACAAUGGGGAGAACCCUGACGCACCCAUGCCGCGUGAAUGAAGAAGCCCUUAGGGUUGUAAAGUUCUUUCGGUAUUGAGGAAGGUUGAUGUGUUAAUAGCACAUCAAAUUGACGUUAAAUACAGAAGAAGCACCCGCUCUCUCCGUGACAGCAGCCGCUGUAAUACAGAGGGUGCGAGCGUUAAUCGGAAUAACUGGGCGUAAAGGGCGCGCAGGCGGUUAUUUAAGUGAGGUGUGAAACCCCCGGGCUUAACCUGGGAAUUGCAUUUCAGACUGGGUAACUAGAGUACUUUAGGGAGGGGUAGAAUUCCACGUGUAGCGGUGAAAUGCGUAGAGAUGUGGAGGAAUACCGAAGGCGAAGGCAGCCCCUUGGGAAUGUACUGACGCUCAUGUGCGAAAGCGUGGGGAGCAAACAGG
rnacentral:rRNA from 1 species